GGCCACACCCACAGUACAUGGAUGUUCCCAGGCUAUGGGUCUGAUCAGAGCUGGGGCCUCCGACCUAUGCCAGAGCCACAGCAACACGGAUGUGAGCCACGUCUGUGACCUACACCACAGCUCACAGCAAUGCUGGAUCCUUAACCCACUGAGAGAGGCAGGGAUCAAACCCACAACCUGAUGGUUCCUAGUCGGAUUCGUUAACCACUGAGCCAUGAUGGGAACUCCAGACUAUUUGAUUAUUUGAUCAUUAAAUUAUUUGAGGAUUUCCUUAUAUUCUUACCCAACAAGAUAUUCCAGGCCAGUAAUGGAUGUUCCCAGGCCUAACCCUGAGUAGGUUAUUUAUCCAAGGAGCUCUGGUUUCUUUUAUUUGAGAAUAAAAUUUUGAAUAUAAAAUCAGUGGACCAGUAUCUUUAAAAUACUGAAAGAAAAAAAUCAUCAACAUGAAAUUUUAUACCCAGUUAAAAUAUUUUUCACUGGGAAGAGGAAAUACAGAUAUGUUCAGAUAUUCAAAAAAUGAAAGUAUUCAUGAUAAACAUAGCUCCACUGCAAGUAGUAUUAAAUGAAGUCAUUCAGGCAAAGGAAAAUGAUACCAGAUGGAUAUUUGGAUCUACAUAAGUGAAGAGCAACAGAAGUGGUAACUAUAUGGGUGUAUGUGUAUAGACUUUUUUAUAAUUUAAUUACCUUUAAAAGAUAAUUAUCUAUAUUGACAACAAUUAUCUUUAAUAAUAACAACAUACUGAAAAUUUUACAACAGAUUUUUAGUAAAAUGUGACAAUAAUAUCAUAAAGACCAGAAAAGGAGAAAUGAAAGUAUAAUAUUUUAAGGUUUUAUACAUUAUAUGAUGCAUAAAAUGGUAUGACAUUAGGGAAUAUAUAAUAGUUAAAGAUUUGUACUAUAAGUCAUCAGGCAACUGCUAAAAUAAAAUGAUAAGCUAUAUUUAAUGAAUCAAUAAAACACAUGACAUAGAAUCAUCAAAAAAUACAUAAUUCAAAAGAUAAAGAGAGAAAAAUGUAACAAAGUAAAACAUGACAAAUAGAUGACAGUAGCAAGGCGACAGGUGUAAAAAGUAGUUUAACAAUCAUAUUAAAUACAAAUGUUCUUAAAAUUAGAGAUUUGUUUAGAUUGGAAAAAAAACAACACCUAAAUCUACAUAUUGCUUAUUAAACAUGCAUUUAAAUGCAAAGACACAAAUAGAUUAAAAUUAAAGGCUGAGAAAAACAUCAGUCUAACUUGAGUCAAAAAUCUGGAGCUACCAUAUUAAUAUCAGAAAAGUAGUUUACAGAGAAAAGAAUAUUACCAAGACAAAGAAGACUAUUUGAUCAUAAAAAUGCUAUCAAAGGUGUGACCAAGAUGCCACAGUAGGAAGAACUGAAUUCAAACUCCUCUCACUGGCACAAAAAAAUUACAACUAUUUAUAGAACAACUAUGCAUGAGAAUGAUCUCAAGACUAGCAGAAAAGAUUUUCCACAAUUAAAGAUAUAAAGAAGGAACCACAAUGAGAUGGGUAGAAGAAGUAGAGACAUGGUAUAGUUCAGAACCAAACCCCCAGGUGAGCAACCGGCAAAUGAGAGGACAAACCAAAUUGUUGAGUUUCUCCCCAAGGAAAAAAAGGGUCCAAACCCUAAAUUGAGUUUCCAGCCUUUGGACUGGUACCAAGAAGACAAGUCUCCAGAACAUCUGGCUUUGAAAGCAAGUGGAAUUGUGUACAGGAGAUCCAGAAGGUUGUAGGAAACAUAAACUUGCUCCUAAAAGGUACACACAUAAUUUUACACACUCCCAGUACCAACAUAAUGGAAGAAAACCGAAAGGAGACUGAGUCUGACCCACUUGCUGAUAUUAGGGAGAUUCUCAGAAAGACAGGGGACAAAUGGGACACAGACACUGGUGGCAGCUAUUUAGAGGAACUCAUUCUACCACAUGGACACUAGUGCUGGCAAGAAAAAUUUUGAAAACUUCCCUCCAGCCUAUUAGCACAAGGGGCUUAUCUGCCCACCAGUUAGGUGACAUCAGAACUGUGACCUCCCAGGUCAUGAAGCCAGGUGCAAAUGUAACAAGUCCCAGGUCCCCGUCAGGAACCACAGUCAGCCACCCUAAUUGGCUGACUCCCAUAAGGGGGGCAAUACCAGUCCUGGACUCCUGACCCUGCAAUCAUCUGCAUGAAGACACCACCCCACCCAGUACCAGGGCAGCACCAGAUCUACCUCAGAAAGCAAGAAAAACCCCAGAAUAACAAUUUAGUCUUAUGCCUAAAGGAACCAAAAAAAGACCCCCUAAAAAACCCAGAGUUAAAAGAAAGAAGGAAAUAAUAAAACCUGAGACGAAAGAAAGAAAUAAUAAAGAUCAGAGCAAAAGUAAAUGAAAUGGAGACUAAAAAGAGAAAUAAGAAAGAUCAAUAAACUAAGAGUUGGUUGUUUGAAAAGAUAAGACUGAUAAAUGUUUAAACAGACUCAUACAGAAAAUAAAAGAGGACCCAAAUCAAUGAAAUCAGAAGAGAAAGAGAAGUUACAACUGACACUGUAGAAAUACAAAAGAUUAUUAGAAAUUACUAUAAGCAAUUAUGCGCAAAUAAAAUGGGAAAGAUAGGAGAGAUGUAUAAAUUCCUAGAAACAUGCAAUAUUCCAAGAAUGAAUCAAGAAGAAAUUUUAAAAUGAACAGAUCAAUUACCAACAAUGACAAUAAAUCAGUAAUUUAAAAACUCCCAACAAAAAAAGUCCAGGACCAGAUAGCUACAAGGGUGAAUUUUAUCAUACAUUUAUGGAAGAGUUAACAUAUACACUUCUCAAAAUAUUUCCCCAAUAUUGAAGAGGAAACAAGGCAUCAAAACUAAUCCUGAGUCCAGCAUCACUCCAAAACAAAUUUUAAACACACCAAAAAAAAUUAUGGGCAAAUGUCCAUGAUGAACACAGAUCCAAAAGUCCUCAAAAAAAAUGUAGCAAAAAAAAAAAUGGAGUUUCCGUCGUGGCGCAGUGGUUAAUGAAUCUGACUAGGAACCAUGAGGUCGAGGGUUUGAUCUCUUCCCUUGCUCAAUGGGUUAAGGAUCUGGCGCUGAGUGAGCUGUAGUGUAGGUUGCAGACUCGGCUCGGAUUCCGUGGUGCUGUGGCUCUGGCAUAGGCCGGUGACUACAGCUCCGAUUAGACCCCUAGCCUGGGAACCUCCAUAUGCCUCGGGAGUGGGCCUAGAAAAGACAAAAAAAAAAAAAAAUAAAUUGAAUAAAAGUUUGGAGUUCCCAUUAUGGCUCAGCAGGUUAAGAACCUGAUGUUGUCGCUCUGAGAAUGCAGGUUCAAUCCCUGGCCUCCUUCAGUGGGUUAAGGAUCUAGCACUGCUACAUGCUGCAGAGUAGAUCACAGCUGUGGCUUGGAUCUGGUGUUUCCAUGGCUAUGGCAUAGACUGUAGCUGCAGUUGCGAUACAACCCCUGGCCUGGGAACUUCCAUAUGCCUCGGGUGGAACCAUAAAAAGAAAAAAAAAU
rnacentral:lncRNA from 1 species